rnacentral:tRNA from 1 species
GCGCCCGUAGCUCAGUUGGAUAGAGUGACUGGCUACGAACCAGUAGGUCACAGGUUCGAAUCCUGUCGGGCGUGCCA